CCUACGGGGGGCGGCAGUGAGGAAUAUUGGUCAAUGGGCGCAAGCCUGAACCAGCCAUCCCGCGUGAAGGAAGACGGCGCUAUGCGUUGUAAACUUCUUUUCCAGGGAAAUAAAAUCAGGUACGUGUACCGGAUUGAAGGUACCCUGGGAAUAAGCAUCGGCUAACUCCGUGCCAGCAGCCCCGGUC
rnacentral:rRNA from 1 species